GACAGAGGGGGCAGGCGUUGCUCGGAAUUACUGGGCGUAAAGGGCGCGUAGGCGGGAUGGCAAGUCGGUCGUGAAAUCCCUCGGCUCAACUGAGGAGCGUCGAUCGAAACUGCUGUUCUUGAGGGUUGCAGAGGAGACUGGAAUUCCCGGUGUAGCGGUGAAAUGUGUAGAGAUCGGGAGGAACACCGGUGGCGAAGGCGGGUCUCUGGGCAACUCCUGACGCUGAGGCGCGAAAGCGUGGGGAGCGAACAGG
rnacentral:rRNA from 1 species